UACGUAGGUGGCAAGCGUUGUCCGGAUUUACUGGGCGUAAAGAGCGCGCAGGCGGUCGUUCAAGUCGCGUGUGAAAGCCCCCGGCUCAACUGGGGAGGGUCACGCGAUACUGAUCGACUGGAAGGCAGGAGAGGGUAGUGGAAUUCCCGGUGUAGUGGUGAAAUGCGUAGAUAUCGGGAGGAACACCAGUGGCGAAGGCGGCUUGCCAGAAUGCGCUCGACGGUGAGGAUGAAAGCUGGGGGAGCAACCGGG
rnacentral:rRNA from 1 species